AAUCUUGAUAAUUACAAAGGUGCAUCAUGCCAAGGAGAGAAUAAAGAAGUAAGAUUUAAAAUACUGCAUCCAAUCAUCAAUGCAAUAUCCAACUGGAGUUCCCCUUCCAGUAACUCUGCAUCAACACGUCAUCUGACAAUAAGCAACAGAAGCGUUUCCAGUAAAGGAAGCAAUCAUUUUCAUAAAGGUAUGAAUAUUUAGCAUUUUGACAGUGGUUUGAAAAAUUGAGUAUGCUGGAAAAGACAGCUAACCCAUUUUCAUUUUACUGGAAAAACCUUUUCUAUCUGCUAAAAAUUAUAGUAAUAAUGAGCAGAAAAUAUGG